GACGAACGCUGGCGGCGCACCUAAGACAUGCAAGUCGAACGGUCUUCUUUCCUUCGGGGAAGGGGAGAGUGGCGGACGGGUGAGUAACACGUAAGGGACCUGCCCUGGAGUGGGGGAUAGCCUGGGGAAACCGAGGGUAAGCCCGCAUACGACCGAUGGCAUAGCGGCGAUCGGGGAAAUCUUUUCCGCAAGGGGAGGAGCUCGAGGAGGGCCUUGUGGCGGAUUAGCUAGUUGGGGGGGUAGUGGCCCACCAAGGCGACGAUCCGUAGCUGGUCUG
rnacentral:rRNA from 1 species